AGGCAGCAGUGGGGAAUUUUGGACAAUGGGCGCAAGCCUGAUCCAGCCAUUCCGCGUGAGUGAAGAAGGCCUUCGGGUUGUAAAGCUCUUUCGCAAGGGAAGAAACGUUACUGGUGAAUAACCAGUGAUAAUGACGGUACCUUGAUAAGAAGCACCGGCUAACUACGUGCCAGCAGCCGCGGUAAUACGUAGGGUGCGAGCGUUAAUCGGAAUUACUGGGCGUAAAGCGUGCGCAGGCGGUUUUGUAAGUCAGAUGUGAAAUCCCCGAGCUCAACUUGGGAACCGCGUUUGAAACUACAAGACUAGAAUAGGUCAGGGGGGGGUAGAAUUCCACGUGUAGCAGUGAAAUGCGUAGAGAUGUGGAGGAAUAUCAAUGGCGAAGGCAGCCCCCUGGGAUCAUAUUGACGCUCAUGCACGAAAGCGUGGGGAGCAAACAGGAUUAGAUACCCUGGUAGUCCACGCCCUAAACGAUGUCAACUAGUUGUUGGUAGAGUAAAAUCUAUGAGUAACGCAGCUAACGCGUGAAGUUGACCGCCUGGGGAGUACGGUCGCAAGAUUAAAACUCAAAAGAAUUGACGG
rnacentral:rRNA from 1 species